GUUGACUUUUAUGUUAUACUAUAAUGUAUUGUUUUAUUUUAAGAAUCUUUUCUUUAAAACUUUUGAUUUACUUAUUUUAAAAUUACUAUAAAAUUUAUUUAUUGAUUUAAUGAUACAUACUGAGAAUCUGAUGCACCUAACUUUUUUAUUGUUGAUUGUAUUUUAAUAAGAUCUUUAUUUUAUAUAAACUGCUUCCCUUCAUAUAAUUAAAUGUAAAUGUGUUCUUAUGCAGUUAUUUCCUUGUUGCCAUUGGCUGAGGUAUAGAAUCAGUUCAUUUUCGCUUAUUCUCAUGCUAGUCCUUAUUUUAGAUGUAGAAAUUUUUUCAUUGCCUUAUACAAUGGCUGUGAUUAACAAAUUGAUCUGUUCUUUUCCUCAGCUUUUUGGUGAUAUUCUUGCUAUAAUAUACAUAAAUAUGCAUGCAUACAUAUGUAUGUAUGUAUGUAUAUAUGUAUAGUGGAUAUAGUCACAAAGGAAAAAAUUGGUUUGAGCCCAUUAAUAUUUUUGGGAAAUAGAAAACCAAAGGCAGCUGUGUAUACAUGUGAUACUGUGUUGUGUACUCAAUUGUCAAGUUGGAAUGUAUGUAUAUAUUGUGGUAAUUUUCUAGUAAAAACCAAUUGGCUUCUAGAUGUUGACAGUAUGACAUUGUGACAUGAUAGUGAAUGCAGUACGGGUCCUCCGGUGCCUUUAAGGCAUAUAUGCCAUUCCGGCUAAUAUACACACAGGCUAAUCAGACAAAUACUAAAAUAUGCAAAUAACAUUAAAGCCAUAUUUGUACUACAGGUUACAAAUAUAUCAGCAGAAAGGGGAUAGUUCUAUAGAUAAAAAUAAUUUUAAUGCUAUAGAGCUUAGGAUAUAAACCUGAAAUAUAUUUUUUAUCUCCUACUUGAAUGUGCAAUGUGUAAUAUAAUUUUAAAUUUCCUCCUUGUAUUAAAAACUUAAUUCUGUUGUAAUAAGUGGUGAUGUGUUUCUAGAUAGAGGAUUACAACUGCCAGAGAAUUUAUCUAUCCCAAAUAUGCAAUAUAAUAAUAAUGCUAAAAAAAUCGUUUUAUUGAGUGUUGAAAAGUUCCUUAUUAAAAUUCCUGGUAGAAAGCAAAGGAUAGUUUGUAUAUUAAAUAUGUGAAUAUUAAACCAUUGUGAUAUCUAAAAUACUGUAGUAUAAGUAAGGCUUUAUGUUUAAAUUUGCAUAUUACUUAAGUUUUUUACUCAUCAUUUUAUUAUUUUUUAAUGUUGAUAAAACUAAAAAAAGAUUUGUGUAUAUGUUAUGUACCAUUACAGUAAAAGCUUGUUGGCCUUUUGAAAUGAUGUUAAUUUUUUAUUAAAAAUUUUUGUUUGGAAAUUAUUGUACAACAAAAAAAAAUAAUUUUGAAUAUAAUUGAAAUAUUCAAAUCCAGUACAAAGUUAGUAAUCAUAACUUGUUGUAUUGUCAGAAGACACCAUUUAUGUAUAUUUUGCAAGCAAUGUUCACCUAAUUCCUGUUAAAAUCAAGUGAACAAAUGAAUCUGUAUGAACUGUCUGUGAAAUUUUAAUUCAAUUCAUUAUAUAUGUACUUGGAAUUCAUAUUAGAAAAGCUAUUCCAGCUCCUAGGAGUUUUACUUUUAAGAUCCAAGUAAAAAAUUUAAAAAAAAAUUGAAGAAAGUGUUAUACGUGAACUGUGCUUGCUAUUAUACAAUAUUUACUAUUGUAAUUUAAGGUUAUGGUACUGUGCCAAAUUAUGGCUAGUACCUGAUUAGAACUGCCGGAUGAUUAGUCUUGCUCACAUUUAUUGCUAUAUGGUGUCAAUCUGAUGAAGUUUCCUAGUGCUAACACUAGGAUACAUCACAGUCAUCUCUUCACUAAGACUCAAUAUAUCUGUAGUUGCUGUGUGUGUAUUACCAUAAGUUGCCGUUGUGAAGUAUCACUUUUCUUCACACAGAACAUCCCUGUACCUCACAGUUGUCAAACGAUGUGGUGUACUGUACAGGUUAUGUUCUGCACCACUGAUUUGUAUGACUGAAUUGUGGAAAACCCUGUGUAAUAUAAGUUUUAUAUUUACUUCAAACUGUAUCAUUGUAAAUAGCACUUUAGCUCGCAUGAAUUAAAAGCAAUUUGACCACGAUAUCUUUUGUUUUAAAUAUUG
rnacentral:lncRNA from 1 species